rnacentral:rRNA from 1 species
GACGAACGCUGGCGGCGUGCUUAACACAUGCAAGUCGAACGAUGAUGCGGUGCGUGCACCGUUGAUUAGUGGCGAACGGGUGAGUAACACGUGAGUAACCUGCCCUCUUCUUUGGGAUAACGGUCUGAAAGGGCUGCUAAUACUGAAUAUUCACAUGUCUUCGCAUGGGGGUGUGUGGAAAGAGAUGCUUUUGGGUGUUUUUGGUGGGGGAUGGGCUCGCGGCCUAUCAGCUUGUUGGUGGGGUAGUGGCCUACCAAGGCUUUGACGGGUAACCGGCCUGAGAGGGUGACCGGUCACAUUGGGACUGAGAUACGGCCCAGACUCCUACGGGAGGCAGCAGUGGGGAAUUUUGCACAAUGGACGCAAGUCUGAUGCAGCGACGCCGCGUGAGGGAUGUAGGCCUUCGGGUUGUGAACCUCUUUCGCUCAUGGUCAAGCCGCAGCUUUGGGUUGUGGUGAGGGUAGUGGGUAAAGAAGCGCCGGCUAACUACGUGCCAGCAGCCGCGGUAAUACGUAGGGCGCGAGCGUUGUCCGGAAUUAUUGGGCGUAAAGGGCUUGUAGGCGGUUGGUCGCGUCUGCCGUGAAAUCCUCUGGCUUAACCGGGGGCGUGCGGUGGGUACGGGCUGGCUUGAGUGCGGUAGGGGAGACUGGAAUUCCUGGUGUAGCGGUGGAAUGCGCAGAUAUCAGGAGGAACACCGGUGGCGAAGGCGGGUCUCUGGGCCGUUACUGACGCUGAGGAGCGAAAGCGUGGGGAGCGAACAGG